CCCUUCUUCUCCUCCGCCUCCUUCUUCCUCUUCCUUUCCUUUCGUUGCCUCUCUCUCUCUCUCUCAGCGCGGAAGCCGACUCUCGGCCGGCAAACGCGAGCUCAGCCCUUCGGCGCUGACAGCCGCCGCCUCAACUGUCAGCCCCCACCAACCCCUCGCUGACCGCCCAGAACCACCAUAUUGAAUCCGGAGAACCCAGACAACCGGGUAAACCUCGUCCCGGCAGCCUCCGCGGCUCGUCAUGUGACCUGGGCGUGUGAGGGAAGAGGCGAGGCUUCAGCCGCCCAGCGAGCGAGGAAGAGGCGGCGGUGGUGGGGACGGGGGAAACCAACCAAAUAAACGCGAAAGCGGGAAGACGCCAAGCAAAUAAAUAAGGGUUGCCCAAGGAUAGCUGCUCUGUACGCCGUAUGCCUUUAAGCGGGAGGGCGUGUCAGGCCAAGUCAUUGGGUAGCACCGUCAGGCCCCUGAGGCGAGGCGAAAAGGGGAAGUAGCUGCUCUUCCGCCAUUAGUGUUACUGAGACGCCAACGCCGUUAAGCUCCUCCUUCCCGCAGCCUCUACCUCAGCCUGAGGCGAAGAAGGGAAGGAAGGGAAACUGAGUUGUUCUGGUUCGCAUUUGUCCCGUCNNNNNNNNNNNUUCAAACCAACCCGAGCGUUACAGGAACGUGACAGGAAAGAAGCAACGGAGCGUUUGCUUUUCCCUUCACUCCUGCUGCCCAGCUUCCCUGUCAUUUCGGGCGAAAAGAGGAAGGUUGUUAAAACUGAAGGCAGACGCUGUCUUGUCGAUCUUCGUAACUUGCCUUGGGAGCCUCCUUUUGGCAGACUGCAUGGCGGGGAUUCUGGACAGAGGACACUUCCUCAAGAGUGUAUGCUUGCUCUUAGAACCACACUAUUUAAUGACUCUGGAUGAAAUUUUGAGGGCAAGAAGUAACAUUUACGGUAUGUGAAAAGUAUAACAUUACAAAAUGGCAGCCAGCUAUGAAUAAUUUUUUGGGAAAUAACAUUGUCUUAUAACCACGUUAUAAAACCAAACGUAUUCAUUAAAGAACACUGAAUGACACAUUAUUUGGUGAAUAGAACAGCCUUCUAUGACACUAUGAUAGCGAGGAAACAGAAACGGAAAAAUCCCAAAUGGCUGCCAAAAUCACUGAAUCUUUAUGCCAUGAAAGUAGGAUAACUUAUCCAUCCUGCAGUGGUGAUUUUUAAUUUAAUUGAAAGCUUUGCAUGUUAUGAAGCUCUCUGGAGUUCUCUUUUGACCUGGGGGGAAUUUUGUGAAUGUUAUAAUGGUGGGGGAGCUUCUAAUAUCUAAUAAUAGCCACCAGCAAAAAUAUUUUAAAAUAAAUGAGAAAACAGCAUUUCA
rnacentral:lncRNA from 1 species